CUGCGUUCUCUGCAGUGAUGGCACUCCAUCCAAUAUCUUUGGAAUGAGAUAACGUGUCAAACCAAUCAUCCAGCAUCGAUAUCUGACCUCACUAAUACUCUUGAGGCGCAGUACAAUUAGAGCCACAAAGCACUGUUCCAACACCUGGCGUAGAUAAGCAGAGCCCAGAUUAUUGGCUCCAACCUAACUUAGGCAUAGAGCAGAAGUGUGGACCGUCUAGGGCUGCUUACUGACGUGUUUGAGAACUACAGCUGCUGGUGACGGAGAUUCUUACCUUACAGGUGGAGUCCAGUCGUUGUAGGCGGGGCUUACGCACCUGCGUCAGCAGAAAAGGUAUUCUGAGCUUCAUCCAUGUAGUGACUUCAUUUGGCAAAGAAGAGCUCAGCCAAUCAGCUACUCAGUGUAAUAGAUUCUCAAAUGAGUGUAUUAGCCGAUUUAAAACAACUGAAACCAACAACCAUAAUCGACUACAACAGAAACAGCUGGACAUGCCAGGAGCGAGCAUCAUCAGGAACCUGCAGUCUCCUAGUGCAGCGAGCUCAGCUGCUAAGCGAGGGAAGCCCCUCCAGACUCCGCCAGGUUAUCAGGACAUUCAACCAGUGGCUUCGAGGCAUGUUUCACUGCGGGAUAUGGCGCUAACUCCUGCCCGUGUGCCUCCGUUCACCAUCCCACCGCUGUGUGCGACGAGGCGGCCUGGGGGCUCCUCUGCCGGGGGCGGCCUUAGACGCAACACGCUGCCGGCCUCCGCUCACUCUCAGCGGACUACCAGAGCGCUCAGCCGCCGCUGCUGCCCUUUCUCAGCGCUCGGCCUCGCGGAUAUGGAGCCUCACACCUGUGCUUCUUCAGACCCGGCGACAAGAGCGGCGAUGUCUCUGCUCCACCUGGCCAAAAUAACCACGCCGUACGGCUUCAUCACUCUGGGGGAAAGUCCCUGUGUCCGCCGCAGGGAGUCGCUGUUCUUCCAGGAACACCAACCACAGCCAAGUCCCAGCGAAGAGGAGCAGCAGUGUAUGAAAUCAAGGAGUCUUCCUUGCGGUCCCCUGAUGUAG
ensembl:lncRNA